UACGAAGGGGGCUAGCGUUGCUCGGAAUCACUGGGCGUAAAGGGUGCGUAGGCGGGUCUUUAAGUCAGGGGUGAAAUCCUGGAGCUCAACUCCAGAACUGCCUUUGAUACUGAAGAUCUUGAGUUCGGGAGAGGUGAGUGGAACUGCGAGUGUAGAGGUGAAAUUCGUAGAUAUUCGCAAGAACACCAGUGGCGAAAGCGGCUCUCUGGGGACCAUCUGGACGCUGAGGCGCGAAAGCGUGGGGAGCGAACCGG
rnacentral:rRNA from 1 species